CCUGAUGUGGUGAACAUCCUAGCCCUGUCCUGACCCUGCCAUGGGCACCAGACUCCUCUGCUGCGUGGCCCUCUGUCUCCUGGGGGCAGGUCACACAGGAGCUGGUGUCCUCCAGUCCCCCCGGCACAAGGUCACAAAGAGGGGCCGGGACGUGGACCUCAGGUGUGACCCAAUUUCUGGUCAUGCUGGCCUCUACUGGUACCGACAGGCUGUGGGGCGAGGCCCGGAGUUUCUCAUUUCCUUCCGAAACAAGGACAAAGUAGACUCCUCGGGGAUGCCCAGCAACGAUCGGUUCCAGGUGGACAGGCCCGAGGGGUCCUACUCCAUUCUGCAGAUCCAGCGUGCAGAGCCGGGGGACUCAGCUGUGUACCUGUGUGCCAGCAGCCCUACCACAGUGGGGCACAGCCACCUCCUUCCUCUUCACCAACCUCAUGUGCUUGCUUCUCGUAGUUCACAGAAUCCCCGCACAAAGGAGUUGCCUGCUUCUUCUUCAUCAGGGGCAACAUGUGGAUUUGGGACUUAG